GCGGUGGAGUAUGUGGUUUAAUUCGAUGCAACGCGAAGAACUUACCUGGUCUUGACAUCCCGGAGACCCUUAGGAAACUAGGGGUGCUUCCAUCUGGAAGAAUCUGGAGACAGGUGCUGCAUGGCUGUCGUCAGCUCGUGUCGUGAGAUGUUGGGUUAAGUCCCGCAACGAGCGCAACCCUUGCCUUUAGUUGCCAGCAGUUCGGCUGGGCACUCUAAAGGGACUGCCGGUGUUAAACCGGAGGAAGGUGGGGAUGACGUCAAGUCCUCAUGGCCUUUAUGACCAGGGCUACACACGUACUACAAUGGCCGAUACAAAGGGCAGCGACACUGCGAGGUGAAGCCAAUCCCGUAAAAUCGGUCUCAGUCCGGAUUGGAGUCUGCAACUCGACUCCAUGAAGUUGGAAUCGCUAGUAAUCGUGGAUCAGCAUGCCACGGUGAAUACGUUCCCGGGCCUU
rnacentral:rRNA from 1 species